rnacentral:rRNA from 1 species
GCAGAAGAGGACAGUGGAACUCCAUGUGUAGCGGUGAAAUGCGUAGAUAUAUGGAAGAACACCAGUGGCGAAGGCGGCUGUCUGGUCUGUAACUGACGCUGAGGCUCGAAAGUAUGGGUAGCAAACAGGAUUAGAUACCCUGGUAGUCCAUACCGUAAACGAUGAAUGCUAAGUGUUGGAGGGCUUCCGCCCUUCAGUGCUGCAGCUAACGCAUUAAGCAUUCCGCCUGGGGAGUACGGCCGCAAGGCUGAAACUCAAAGGAAUUGACGGGGGCCCGCACAAGCGGUGGAGCAUGUGGUUUAAUUCGAAGCUACGCGAAGAACCUUACCAGGUCUUGACAUACUAUGCAAAUCUAAGAGAUUAGACGUUCCCUUCGGGGACAUGGAUACAGGUGGUGCAUGGUUGUCGUCAGCUCGUGUCGUGAGAUGUUGGGUUAAGUCCCGCAACGAGCGCAACCCUUAUUAUCAGUUGCCAGCAUUAAGUUGGGCACUCUGGUGAGACUGCCGGUGACAAACCGGAGGAAGGUGGGGAUGACGUCAAAUCAUCAUGCCCCUUAUGACCUGGGCUACACACGUGCUACAAUGGAUGGUACAACGAGUUGCGAACUCGCGAGAGUAAGCUAAUCUCUUAAAGCCAUUCUCAGUUCGGAUUGUAGGCUGCAACUCGCCUACAUGAAGUCGGAAUCGCUAGUAAUCGCGGAUCAGCAUGCCGCGGUGAAUACGUUCCCGGGCCUUGUACACACCGCCCGUCACACCAUGAGAAUUUGUAACACCCAAAGUCGGUGGGGUAACCUUUUAGGAACCAGCCGCCUAAGGUGGGACAGAUGAUUAGGGUGAAGUCGUAACAAGGUAGCCGUA